UGUUGUUUGGCAGUGUCGCAAACAAGCCAAGGAAUUAAAUGAGUGUCUUCAUCAGUACACGAAUGACUCUGUUUUGGAAGAAAUGAAGAAAGCAUACAUGCUCCAACAGAAUGAACAGGGAUCACUUAGAGUUUGAGUAUGCCUUUCAUGGUUCUUCGAGUUAAGUUGUCUCCACAUUGUCUGCAGUUCAGAAGGCCUUCACUUUCUUAUCAGGAUUUGGCUGUGAUUUGUGAUCGAGCAGUACGUUUUUGCCUUGUUGGGUGCAUUUAGUUCUUGGUGGAACUCACAGAAAAUUGAAUAAAUUUGUGGUUCUCAAGUUAUACAUGCUACACUUGGUCACUAAUUUUCAAAUUGGGUGAGGAGUGAACUUCUUUAUCCCCUUGUUUCAGUUAUGCAAGUCAUUUCGAG
rnacentral:misc_RNA from 1 species